rnacentral:rRNA from 1 species
CAAUCGGCGAAGGCAAGCUGGCUGGGACGAUUACGACGCUGAGACGCGAAAGCGUGGGGAGCAAUCAGGAUUAGAUACCCUGGUAGUCACGCCGUAAACGAUGGGCACUAGAUGUGGGGGGUGUCGACUCCCCCCGUGUCGUAGCUAACGCGUUAAAGUGCCCCGCCUGGGGAGUACGGCCGCAAGGGCUAAAACUCAAAGGAAUUGACGGGGACCCGCACAAGCAGCGGAGCAUGUGGAUUAAUUCGACGCAACGCGAAGAACCUUACCUGGGCUUGACAUGCUGCUGACCUCCCUGGAAACAGGGAUUCCCUUCGGGGCAGCAAUACAGGUGGUGCAUGGCUGUCGUCAGCUCGUGUCGUGAGAUGUUGGGUUGAGUCCCGCAACGAGCGCAACCCCCGUCCUAUGUUGCCAGCGGAUAAUGCCGGGGACUCAUGGGAUACUGCCGGUGACAAACCGGAGGAAGGUGGGGAUGACGUCAAGUCAUCAUGCCCCUUAUGUCCAGGGCUUCACACGUGCUACAUUGGCGCAUACAGAGGGCUGCGAUACCGCGAGGUGGAGCGAAUCCCAAAAAGUGCGUCUCGGUUCGGAUUGGAGGCUGAAACUCGCCUCCAUGAAGGCGGAGUUGCUAGUAAUCCCGGAUCAGCAAUGCCGGGGUGAAUACGUUCCCGGGUCUUGUACACACCGCCCGUCACACCACGAAAGCAAGCAACACCCGAAGCCGGUGAGCUAACCCUCUGGGAGGCAGCCGUCGAAGGUGGGGCUCGUGAUUGGGGUGAAGUCGUAACAAGGUAACCGUAA